UAAGGAAUAUUGGUCAAUGGACGCAAGUCUGAACCAGCCAUGCCGCGUGAAGGAUGAAGGUCCUCUGGAUUGUAAACUUCUUUUAUCUGGGACGAAAACGGGAUUUUUAUCUCAAUUGACGGUACCAGAGGAAUAAGCACCGGCUAACUCCGUGCCAGCAGCCGCGGUAAUACGGAGGGUGCGAGCGUUAUCCGGAUUUACUGGGUUUAAAGGGUGCGUAGGUGGGCUUAUAAGUCAGUGGUGAAAUCUCCGGGCUUAACCCGGAAACUGCCGUUGAUACUAUUUGUCUUGAAUAGUGUGGAGGUAAGCGGAAUAUGUCAUAUAGCGGUGAAAUGCUUAGAUAUGACAUAGAACACCAAUUGCGAAGGCAGCUUACUACACAAUCAUUGACGCUGAGGCACGAAAGCGUGGG
rnacentral:rRNA from 1 species